AUGCUACGCGCCCAGCUCGCGCGUGCCCAAGCUCGCUUCAAGAAACAAGCUGACCGCCACCGCGCGGAAUGCGCCUUCGACAUCGGCGAACAAGUUCUCCUCAAGUUGCAGCCGUACGCGCAAUCAACCAUCGCCAACCGCCCGUGCCGCAAGCUCUCCUACAAGUUCUUCGGCCCCUUCGAGGUGACGGAGCGGAUCGGAACCCUGACAUGUCGCCUGCAGUUGCCUCCAGACAGCCGCAUCCAUCUGGUAUUUCACGUCUCCCAGCUCAAGCCCUUCACCCCAGAUUACACUCCAGUCUUCGCCAAGCUGCCGCGAGUGCCCGAUCUCACUGGUGGUGAAACGGAACCCGCGGCGAUCUUGGAGCGGGGGAUGAUGAAGAAGGGCGAUGCACCAGUUGUGCAACUCCGUGUCCAGUGGGCAAACAUGCCACCAUCAGCCACCACUUGGGAAUAUUAUGAAGUACUUUGCCAGCGCUACCCAUCAGCCUGUAUCUGGGACGGAGCUCCAUCUCAGGAGGAGGGCAAUGUCACGCCUACUGAUGCAUCAGUAGCGGACUGA
rnacentral:rRNA from 1 species